rnacentral:rRNA from 1 species
GACGAACGCUGGCGGCGUGCUUAACACAUGCAAGUCGAACGGAAAGGCCCGGCUUUUGUGGGGUGCUCGAGUGGCGAACGGGGGAGUAACACGUGAGAAACCUGCCCUUGACUUUGGGAUAACUUUAGGAAACUGGGGCUAAUACCGGAUAGGAGCUCCUGCUGCAUGGGGGGGGUUGGAAAGUUUCGGCGGUUGGGGAUGGACUCGCGGCUUAUCAGCUUGUUGGUGGGGUAGUGGCUUACCAAGGCUUUGACGGGUAGCCGGCCUGAGAGGGUGACCGGCCACAUUGGGACUGAGAUACGGCCCAGACUCCUACGGGAGGCAGCAGUGGGGAAUAUUGCACAAUGGGCGGAAGCCUGAUGCAGCAACGCCGCGUGCGGGAUGACGGCCUUCGGGUUGUAAACCGCUUUCGCCUGUGACGAAGCGUGAGUGACGGUAAUGGGUAAAGAAGCACCGGCUAACUACGUG